rnacentral:rRNA from 1 species
CCUACGGGAGGCAGCAGUGAGGAAUAUUGGUCAAUGGACGAGAGUCUGAACCAGCCAAGUAGCGUGAAGGAUGACUCCCCUAUGGGUUGUAAACUUCUUUUAUAUGGGAAUAAAACGUUCCACGUGUGGGAUUUUGUAUGUACCAUAUGAAUAAGGAUCGGCUAACUCCGUGCCAGCAGCUGCGGUAAUACGGAGGAUCCGAGCGUUAUCCGGAUUUAUUGGGUUUAAAGGGAGCGUAGGUGGAUUGUUAAGUCAGUUGUGAAAGUUUGCGGCUCAACCGUAAAAUUGCAGUUGAAACUGGCAGUCUUGAGUACAGUAGAGGUGGGCGGAAUUCGUGGUGUAGCGGUGAAAUGCUUAGAUAUCACGAAGAACUCCGAUUGCGAAGGCAGUUCACUGGACUGCAACUGACACUGAGGCUCGAAAGUGUGGGUAUCAAACAGGAUUAGAUACCCGGGUAGUC